UAGGGAAUCUUCUGCAAUGGACGAGAGUCUGACCGAGCAACGCCGCGUGAGUGAAGAAGGUUUUCGGAUCGUAAAACUCUGUUGUUAGAGAAGAACAAGGACGUUAGUAACUGAACGUCCCCUGACGGUAUCUAACCAGAAAGCCACGGCUAACUACGUGCCAGCAGCCGCGGUAAUACGUAGGUGGCAAGCGUUGUCCGGAUUUAUUGGGCGUAAAGCGAGCGCAGGCGGUUUCUUAAGUCUGAUGUGAAAGCCCCCGGCUCAACCGGGGAGGGUCAUUGGAAACUGGGAGACUUGAGUGCAGAAGAGGAGAGUGGAAUUCCAUGUGUAGCGGUGAAAUGCGUAGAUAUAUGGAGGAACACCAGUGGCGAAGGCGGCUCUCUGGUCUGUAACUGACGCUGAGGCUCGAAAGCGUGGGGAGCAAACAGG
rnacentral:rRNA from 1 species